rnacentral:rRNA from 1 species
UAGGGAAUCUUCGGCAAUGGGGGCAACCCUGACCGAGCAACGCCGCGUGAGUGAAGAAGGUUUUCGGAUCGUAAAGCUCUGUUGUAAGAGAAGAACGUGUGUGAGAGUGGAAAGUUCACACAGUGACGGUAACUUACCAGAAAGGGACGGCUAACUACGUGCCAGCAUCCGCGGUAAUACGUAGGUCCCGAGCGUUGUCCGGAUUUAUUGGGCGUAAAGCGAGCGCAGGCGGUUUAAUAAGUCUGAAGUUAAAGGCAGUGGCUUAACCAUUGUUCGCUUUGGAAACUGUUAAACUUGAGUGCAGAAGGGGAGAGUGGAAUUCCAUGUGUAGCAGUGAAAUGCGUAGAUAUAUGGAGGAACACCGGUGGCGAAAGCGGCUCUCUGGUCUGUAACUGACGCUGAGGCUCGAAAGCGUGGGGAGCAAACAGG